rnacentral:rRNA from 1 species
CCUACGGGUGGCUGCAGUGAGGAAUAUUGGUCAAUGGGCGAGAGCCUGAACCAGCCAAGUCGCGUGAGGGAAGACGGUCCUAUGGAUUGUAAACCUCUUUUGUCGGGGAGCAAAAAGGCCUCGUGAGGCCACAAGUGAGAGUACCCGAAGAAAAAGCAUCGGCUAACUCCGUGCCAGCAGCCGCGGUAAUACGGAGGAUGCGAGCGUUAUCCGGAUUUAUUGGGUUUAAAGGGUGCGUAGGCGGUUUGAUAAGUUAGAGGUGAAAUGUCGGGGCUCAACCCCGAAACUGCCUCUAAUACUGUUGGACUAGAGAAUAGUUGCGGUAGGCGGAAUGUAUGGUGUAGCGGUGAAAUGCUUAGAGAUCAUACAGAACACCGAUUGCGAAGGCAGCUUACCAAACUAUAUCUGACGUUGAGGCACGAAAGCGUGGGUAGCAAACAGGAUUAGAUACCCCUGUAGUC